rnacentral:rRNA from 1 species
AGAGUGGGUAGUCCGCACGAGCGCACCCUGUCCUUAGUUGCCAGCACAUCAUGGUGGGGACUCUAAGGAGACUGCCUGGGAUCACCAGGAGGAAGGUGGGGAUGAUGUCAAGUCAGUAUGUCCCUUAUGUCCAGGGCUACACACGUGUUACAAUGGCCGGUACAAUGGGCUGCGAACCUGCGAGGGUAAGCCAAUCCCAAAAAACCGGCCCCAGUUCAGAUUGGAGUCUGCAACUCGACUCCAUGAAGGUGGAAUCGCUAGUAAUCGCGGAUCAGCACGCCGCGGUGAAUACGUUCCCGGGUCUUGUGCACACCGCCCGUCAAGCCAUGGAAGUCGGCAGUACCCGAAGCCGGUGUCCCAACUCUUCGGAGAGGGAGCCGUCGAAGGUAAGGCUGGUAACUAGGGCUAAGUCGUAACAAGGUAGCCGUACCGGAAGGUGCGGCUGGAUCACCUCCUUUCU